CCUUCCCCGUACACACACACAUCCACACACUCACACCCCACCCCCUAGUCUGGCUGGGAAUUUGAACCGAUCCAGCCUGUUUAAACGGAAAGGACACAGAUCUUCAAUGUAAAAAAAAAAUCAGAUCAGACCCAGAGAGAGAGAGAGAGAGAGAGAGACAGAGAGGGAGGAGUGUGUGUGUGUGUGUGUGAGUGUGUGUGUGUGUGUGAAAGAGGGAGAGGGAGCGAGAGAGCGAGAGAGAGGGAGAGAGAGAGGGAGAGAGAGAGGGAGGGAGAGAGAAAAGAAGAGGGGGAAAAAAAGGAAAGAAGAUUUUCUCUAUGUAUAUAAAGAUGGCCACGUUAGCAAACGGACAACCAGACAAUACCAGCCUGAGUAGCAAUCACAGCAACCCCAGCACCAACGGGCAUAUGAACGGAUUAAACCAUAGUCCCGGAAACCCAUCCACCAUCCCAAUGAAGGACCACGAUGCCAUUAAGCUCUUUAUUGGGCAGAUCCCCCGUAACCUGGACGAGAAAGACCUCAAACCGCUCUUCGAGGAGUUCGGGAAGAUCUAUGAACUGACGGUGCUGAAGGACAGGUUCACUGGCAUGCACAAAGGCUGUGCCUUCCUAACAUACUGCGAAAGGGAGUCUGCUCUAAAGGCCCAGAGCGCACUGCAUGAACAGAAGACACUGCCGGGGAUGAACAGACCGAUCCAGGUGAAACCAGCGGACAGCGAAAGCCGAGGAGAAGACAGAAAACUCUUUGUGGGCAUGCUCAACAAGCAGCAGUCGGAAGACGAUGUGCGCAGGCUAUUCGAGGCGUUUGGCAACAUCGAGGAGUGCACGAUCCUUCGGGGACCCGAUGGCAACAGCAAAGGGUGUGCAUUUGUGAAAUACUCUUCACAUGCAGAGGCCCAAGCUGCCAUCAAUGCCUUGCAUGGCAGCCAGACAAUGCCGGGAGCCUCUUCAAGCCUGGUGGUGAAGUUUGCGGACACGGACAAGGAGCGUACAAUGAGGCGCAUGCAGCAAAUGGCAGGACAAAUGGGCAUGUUCAACCCCAUGGCCAUCCAGUUUGGGGCUUAUGGCGCCUAUGCACAGGCACUGAUGCAGCAGCAGGCCGCGAUCAUGGCCUCGGUGGCGCAGGGCGGAUACCUGAACCCCAUGGCAGCCUUUGCCGCGGCCCAGAUGCAGCAGAUGGCGGCUCUGAACAUGAAUGGCCUGGCAGCCGCCCCCAUGACACCAACCUCAGGUGGAAGCACGCCUCCUGGCAUAACUGCACCAGCUGUGCCUAGCAUCCCAUCUCCAAUUGGGGUGAAUGGUUUCACCGGCCUCCCGCCGCAGGCUAAUGGGCAGCCAGCUGCAGAAGCCGUGUUUGCUAAUGGCAUUCACCCUUAUCCAGGUGUAUGGCACCAGAUUUCCUUCCAAGAGGCCCCCACCUUUGCAUCCUCCAAGCCUUGCCUCCAGCCACACCUCUGUGCGGCACAGAGCCCCACUGCAGCAGACCCCUUGCAGCAAGCCUACGCUGGAGUGCAGCAGUACGCAGGUCCUGCUUAUCCUGCUGCUUAUGGCCAGAUUAGCCAAGCGUUCCCACAGCCACCUCCCAUGAUUCCACAGCAACAGAGAGAAGGACCAGAGGGCUGUAACCUGUUUAUCUACCAUCUGCCCCAGGAGUUUGGGGAUGCUGAGCUGAUGCAGAUGUUCCUGCCUUUCGGUAAUGUCAUCUCCUCGAAAGUGUUUGUGGAUCGGGCGACAAACCAAAGUAAAUGCUUUGGUUUUGUGAGUUUUGACAAUCCUGCCAGUGCCCAAGCUGCUAUCCAGGCCAUGAAUGGGUUCCAGAUUGGCAUGAAGAGGCUGAAGGUGCAGCUGAAGAGGCCAAAGGAUGCUAAUCGUCCCUACUGAAGAGUUGUGGGAACCACUGGAUACAAAGCACUAGCACAGAGCCAGUCAAAUCCACCACAGUCUCGCGCUGAGCUAGGAAAAAAGUUCUCGUAAUGACAUGAAAGUGGAGAAUACAGUCCCCCAGGCCGGCAGCAGCUGAAUGGGCCACAUUUAGGAAAAAAAAAAAAAAAAGCAUAUAUAUAUUAAAAAAAAAAAAUCGUGAACUGUUGGAUUACACCUUUGACAUAUCAGCAAAUAUCAGUCAAGCUGAAGACUUCAGACCUAUUCUCUCUUUGAUUGUUUAGACUGUAACAUUUCUUCAAGAAAAGUAUCACAUCUGCUGACUUCGAAGGACAUGCGCUUGAAAACAAACAAACACAUAAGUAAAAUCAGAACAGGAGGAAGAUUCAACCGGGAUUUCUGAAGAGACACUGAUAUCACCACAGCGGCUUUUCUUCAAACAGGAGAUGCAAACCUGGAUUCUGGCAAAGGAGUGCCUGUUUGCCACCAAGGAUGCGGUUACCAUGCAAGAACCCGUGGUAACAGUCACUGAGCAUCUUUAUCUGUCAUUCCUUAGCUAUAUAGGGACCAAAGGACAAAACUUUUUACCGCAGACUUGUAGCUGUAUGUAAAAUAUGGAAGUUCUUUCCUUUUCUCUGAGCUGUUCCUAAAACAGUUUUUGAGAGCGAUUAUAUGAAAUAUGUAAAAUUAAAAAAAAAAAAAAAAUCGAAUGCUUAAAUGCUUUUAAAACGGCAAGAUAAUAGUUCUUUGAUACUUUGGGAGGUUCUUUGGUUAUACAUUAAUUAGAGUCUAUGAAGCUUUCAUAUGGUUUUCUGUAUAAUACGCAAGGAUUGCGUUGUUAAAGGCAGGUAAGAUGGAUAUCUAGAAAAGCAAAAAAAAAGUAAAUAAAUAAAUACAUAAAUAAGUACAUAAAAAGGCAUAGAAAAGAGAAAGGAAAGAUGGUUGAUAUUAAAUGGAAAACAAAAAGGUUUGUAAAUGCUUCUAACUCUCCCCAUUUAAAAUCCUAAUAGUUGUACAGAAUUUAAAAAAAGAAAGUUUAAAAUACCUAUAUAAUAGAAAAAAUUAGACAACAUAAAAAUAAAAAAUAAAAAAAAAAACAAAAAAGCAAAAAAAAA